AUGUCCACGAUGGGUGUUGGCUCCAACAAUUCGCAUUGGUCUCUAACCAAUGGCAUGCAUUUCGAAAACCAUGAGUUCGAAGUGGACGAGCAGGGUGAGGGCAUUAUCGACGCACCGAAAGGAAGAGCGGGCAAUUACAGCGACGCCGAUGACAUCUUACUAUGCAAUACUUGGUUGCAAGUGUCGAGGGAUCCAUCCGUUGGAGGUGAUCAAAGUAGAGAUGCUUAUUGGCUUCGGAUGAAGGAACACUUUGAUGUUCGCAACGUGAGUGGAAUUGACCGCUCCGGCCGAUCACUUAGGUCCCGGUGGUCGACAAUCAACUCGGAUUGUCAAAGGUGGAUGGCCUGUCAAAAGGCGGUUGACAAGUUGAAUCCAAGUGGCACAAAUGAGGACGAUAGAUUCAACAUUGCGCAAAACUUGUUCAAAGAAGAGGAGAGAAAAACCAAGAAGGGGAAGAUCAAGAAAGGAAGGGUAUUUGCUUUGCCUCAUUACUAUGAAGUGUUGAAGGAUGAUGAGAAAUGA
rnacentral:rRNA from 1 species